rnacentral:rRNA from 1 species
CCUACGGGGGGCAGCAGUGGGGGAUAUUGCACAAUGGGGGGAACCCUGAUGCAGCGACGCCGCGUGGGUGAAGAAGGGCCUCGGCGUGUAAAGUCCUGUCAGUAGGGAAGAAAAUGACGGUAUCUGACGAAUAAGCACCGGCUAACUACGUGCCAGCAGCCGCGGGAAUACGGAGGGGGCAAGCGUUAUUCGGAAGUACUGGGGGUAAAGGGGGCGCAGGCGGGAUUGCAAGGCAGGGGUGAAAGCCCGGGGCUUAACCAGGGAACUGCUCUUGAAACUGGGUGGCUAGAGUGCAGGAGAGGCAGGUGGAAUUCCUGGUGUAGCGGUGAAAUGCGUAGAGAUCAGGAGGAACACCGGUGGCGAAGGCGGCCUGCUGGACUGCAACUGACGUUGAGGCGCGAAAGCGUGGGGAGCAAACAGGAUUAGAUACCCGGGUAGUC